rnacentral:piRNA from 1 species
UGAGUGUGGUGAGUGGAGCAUUUUCCCUGG